rnacentral:lncRNA from 1 species
AGGCUGCACCUGCAGCAUAUGGAUGUUUCUAGACUAGGGGUCGAAUUGGAGCUUCAGCUGCAGGCCUAUGCCAUAGCCACAGCCACAGCAACAUAGGAUCCAAGCCACAUCUAUAACGUACGCCAAAGAUUUUGGCAAUGCUGAAUCUUUAACCCAGGGAUUGAACCUGCAUCCUCACAGACACUAUGUUGGGUUCUUAACCUGAUGAGCCACAGUGGGAACUCCCUUGAUGACCUCUUUAUUCUCUCUUUGCCAGACAAAGGAUUACCUUCCUCCUAAGAUUGUAAGUACUAAACUAGUGAAUACAUAUUGAAAGCUCUUAGAAUGAUUCAUGGCAUAUGGUCAGCCACAUAAGCUAGACAAAACAUUACGGGUGUCCUUGACUCUAGGCCAAUUCAGAUCCAUCCACUCCAAUAAGGCCAGAGAUAUCUUUCGAGAACCUGAAUCUGGCCCUGCAGGUCUCUGGCUUCAAAUCCUUCAAUGAGAACCUCUGACUUCUGUGGGGCGUGCUUGGUCUUUUCCAGUGUCCUGGUUCCUGCUACGGUCUUAUACUCUGAUUAUAUCAAAGGACACACAUUCUCUGAAAUGGCCAUUUACCAUUUUGCCUUUGAGACUUUGCAUGCAGUUUUCCCUCUGUCUGGCCUACACUCUUGACUUUUUAAGAUCAAACUCAAAUACCACAGCCUCUACCAGUUUCAAUCUUCUUCCUCUGCCCCCAGACCCGACCAAUGUUCCAAAAGGGCCCACUGCCCCUUCCUCUGGGUUACAAAAUAUUAGAAAGUGAUCACCCCUCAUCUCUAGAGUCUAAGCCCAUAUCAUGAAGACCCUGGACUUCAUCAGGUCCUGACAUAAAUUGCAGUGUUACUGGAGUCUGAGGAAAGAUAAAGAAAACAGGAAGCAUAAGAAGGAAGAAAAGAGAGGAACAAAGGAAGGGGAGAGAAGAAGUUGGGGCAAUGUAUGCUGCUCCAGACCCAGGUUUCCUGGGCUACAGAGGUAGGUGACUCACACUGACCCACCAACACCAAGAUUCACCCUUCGGAAGAAAAGAUCUGGCUUUCAAAGUUGUUUUUUGGCUUUUUAGGGCCACACCCAUAGCAUAUUGGAAGUUCCCAGGCUAAGGAAAAAAAAGCAAAAGAAAAAGAAAAAAGAAAGAAAUGAACUUCAGCAGGCCAUGGAGCUUGAUUCAGAGGGCCUGACAACCUUCUCUGCCAUUUUCCAGCUGUGUGACCUUGCUCAACUUACUUAACCUCUCUGAGUCUGAGUAUCCUUAUUAGGAAGAUGGAGAUAAUAUCUACCAUCACUUAAUAUAUAUUAUUAAGGGAGAUCAAAUUGAAAUCCAGCAUAAUAAAGAUUAGCAUAUUGAGUUUUACUUUCUUGGUCACUUAGAAUUAGAGGCAAGAGCCCAAAUUCUCUCCUUAGGACAAAUCAGAUACACAUAAGGCAAGAUGUGCCUACACUGCUUUUAAAUAUCCAGCAAAAAGUCAGUUCUUCAAACUUCAGAUGGUGUCCACAGUGAGUCGACACUGAGCGAAUCGCUAGAGAUUCAGAAUUGAAUACGGAUGAGCAGAACUCAUUUUACCAACUUAAAAUUCUUUAAGAAAUUCAUGAUUUGAGCACUCUGAACUAAACUUGAACCCUUUGGCACUUGAAUUGGCUUAUACAGUUUUGAUUGUAAGAAAAGAGAAUUUUAAAAAGUCAUUAAACAAGGUGAAAAGCCUUAUUGGACACGAAUUGGCUCUUAAAGAAUAUUACAAUGAUAUAAAGCUCAAAUGGGUCAGAAAUUUAUGAAAGUCAUUUCCCUUAAAUAAAACAUGAUUUUAAAUAUUCAAGGGAGAACACUCUGCAAAAUGUGCUUGGUGUUUUAAAACAUCUGAAGAACUAUAAGAGUUCUUACUCAUCCCAAAGACCUUGUGCUGGAUAUCAUCACAGACACAUUAGAACUGAGGGCUCCCCUGGGGCCAAGGUUCAUGCACAAAGCAAUCUGGACAGCCCUGCUGGUCUCAGGGCAAAGCCACACUAACCUUUCCUUGUCUGCCCAGCCAAGAAGGGCACUUAUAAUCUGGGCACAGACUGGAGACCCACUUGGUACAGGAUAUACUCUACUAGAAGUGCCUGCUCUUCAAACACAACUUGAACUUCUUGAGGGAAAGAAGUUCACUGUUAUAUUUUGCAACACUUAAUAUAAUGAGGCAGCAAUAAUUGGGAGAUGGAUAGACGAGUAUAUGAGUAAAAGAAAGUAGGGAGGGAGGAAGGGAGAGUAAACAGUUUAGAUAGAUGAUAGAUAGAUGAUAGAGAGAGAGAGAGAGAGAUAAUAGAUAGAUAGAAAGGAUACAUGUACUCAAGGAUACAUAGUUAACAGGAUGGAAGAAUAUAUAGUGAAUGGAUGAAAGGAAGGAAGAGAGGGAACAAUAGAUGAAUGGAUAGAUGGAUGGAUGGAUGGAUGGGUGGGUGGAUAGAUAGAGGAAGAUAGUAUCUACCCAGGAAAUUGUUGUUUGAAUUAACUACCUAGCAACUCCAUACUUGACUCUAGUCCUAAGUUUCUAUUUCUCUCCCCAAAGACUGCAUUAAAACAGGGGCCUAUAAUGUCUUAAUUCCAAAAUAAUAUACUACAUAAUUAUAAUCUUUCUAAUUAACAACAAAAUAAUAAAUAACAAUGAACAAAGCAUCUUAGGUUCAGAGAAUGUAUGCUCCAAUAUACAACCUGACACCUCAGGCCAUAUGGUCUUGGCUAAGUUCCUUUGCCACUCUGAUUACUGUGUCAUUAUUUCCAAAAUAAAAGUGUAACAAUGUUGUUAGCUGACUACCCCUCUUUUCCUUGCUAACAGUACUUUCAUUUGUUUCAGAAGCAAGUUUCCAAAUCCCAGAGGAAAAAUCAUGAUUUGUUUGUCCUAGAUCUCAUUCAUCUUUGCCGGUGACUCAAUUCUGGCCAAUGAAAAAUAAGGGUAAGUCUAGAAUUUCUGGGGAUAAAAAGAAAGAGCUGACUCUGGAGAAAGCCCCUAAGCCAUCACCCCUUCUUCUCCUACUUUGGAUUAUGUUCUAGGAAGCCCUGAAGCUUGAAGCCAUAGAAGCAGCUAUUUUAUAACCAUCAAGAAAAAAGACAAGGAAUUUCAACAAGGCUGACUCAUCCUCUUGACACUGUUGGGGCUAAUCAUUCAAGUUCAGAAUCUACCUACUUUCAUCUUCUUACUAUAGGAGACCUAUGAAAGUAUCACAUAUCAUACUUUCCAUAUGCCAUGUCCUGUUCUAGAUAAAUUAACUCACCUAAUUCUCACAUCUAUGAUUAUUACUACAGUCGAAUGGAAAUAAUAAGACACAGAGAGGUUAUGAAACUUUCUGACCACUAGUAAAUGACAGAAGUCAGAUUUGAAUGUAGGCAAUGGCCAUCCAUAUAACCACCCUAUCAUACCACUUUCUCUUAUUAGCUGAUUGUUUACUUUUGGAUGCAGCCAAAAAUCAUACCGAGUUAUACAAAGCCUAUCUUUCUAAUCUUGCAUAAUUUUUGUGAACACACAUUGAUGCCAGUGCAUCACAUAGCCUUCAAGUAUCUAAUAUUGUUCUCAAAUGUAAAAUAUCUAAGAGAACAAUGAAUGCAAAGGUUUAGUCAUCUGCCAAAGCCAUGCAGCAGGUAAGGGGCAAAGCUGGGGUGGACGGAGCCCUGGUUCCUGUGACGCUGAAGCUGAUUCACUUCCCCCUGAGAUGCCCUGCCACCCUGUGAAAUGCUCAUUUAUUUUCACAUCGAUAAUGGGGCCCAAAGGAGCCCUCAGUGAUACUGAUGAAACCUGAAUCCUAGGCUGAAAAAAGCCUAAGGCCAGUGAAGGGACUUGGGAGCCAAUCCCAAAGGGGUGUUCAGUACCUUCAAAUUCUCCUCCCGCCUACUCUCCCAUGAUCCAACUCCUGAAAGGUUACCUCUUUCUCCAGCUUUAUGAAUCAGAAAGUCAUGUUCUCCCUCUGGGACCUAGCACUUACAGUUUCAGAAUUCAUGUUUUUCCCCUGCAUGGUUCACUUCAGUCUUGCUGCUGAGAAAGUACCACCAGCACUCAUUAAGUCUAUAUAGACCUUUCAGGGCCCUGAGCUAAGUUUAGUGCAUUAAGAAGAUGCUAGGAUGGAGGUUGAGGAGGAAUAAGUCUAUGGGGAGCCCAAGGGUGGGGAGUGGCCAAGAAUCAGAGACCUUGUGAAAGCAUCAAAGAUCAUCUGGUUUAACAUCUUCAGUUUAUAGAUAGUUGGCAUGAGAUUUGGAGAUAUCCAUUAAUAGUUGCAAUUCGGGAGUUCCUGUUGUGGCUCAGUGGUUAACCAAUCCGACUACGAACCAUGAGGUUUCGAGUUUGAUCCCUGGCCUUGCUCAGUGGGUUAAGGUUCUGGCAUUGCUGUCAGCUGUGGUGUAGUUCACAGACAUGGCUCAGAUCCCACAUUGCCGUGGCUCUGGUGUAAGCUAGCAGCUACAGCUCUGAUUAGACCCCUAGCC